ensembl:lncRNA
AUUCCGAGCUGCCAGAGCCGCUGCUCCUCCUGCACCGGGCGAGGGUAGAGGGAGGGCAUCAGCCCACGGGGCGCUGGGGAAGAGCAGCGGGGCUGUGCUUGGGAGGAAGGGGCUCAGCAGAGGUCCCCGCCCCAGCGGUCAGCGCGGGGCCUCCCAGCCCCUUCAGCAGGGGCCUCCAGCCUCUCCUCCUCCUGACUCUAGACUGGAGCCUGGUGCUGUCCUCAUCUUGUCCCCAGCCGGGAGGACAGGGCCUUGCUAUGUAGUCCAGGCUGGCCUCAAACUCCUCCUGCCUCAGCCUCCCGAGUGCUAUUAUAGGUGCCUUUAACAAGAUGUCAAUAAUCUGAGGAAUCCACACGGCUGGUGAGCUGGGCCUGGAGCCCGGUUCGGGGCUGGUGCGGUGCUGGGACAGAGCUGAGUAACCCCCAACACAGCCGAGGUGACCCUGGAGCCGAGAGCCGGGUCCCUUCGCUGCCUCCCGCUGCUGCCCUUCCCGCCCGGCCUGGACCCUGAGCCUCUUCCUCCGGCUCCCACACGGGCUGCCGCUCCCUUCCUGGAGACUGGUCCCUAUCUCCCCGCUGCUGCUGCUGCUGCUGCUGCUCCUGCUCCCCACCCCCCCACGCUGCUCCUGAUAUCUCCGCCCUGCAGCUCCAGGUGCCUAUCUCCUGGGCCCGCUGGAGCCCCUGUGACUGAGGUGCUUCCGCCUCCCUGGCUGCCCACCCGCCUGGACCCACACCUGCUGGCCUCGGAAGCCAGUGGGGCCGACGUCCAUGCUCCGGGUCCCCUCGCCCUCUGCUCCCCUCCAUCCUUCUCCUCCCGAGUGCCAGCUGCACCCAGGGGCCACACAGGCUUGGAAGUCGCGACAGGAAGCUGUGCUGGGCAGCUGAGGCCAGAGCUGUCUGCACAACAGAGUAACGCAGUGGCCCAGGACAAGGUGACAGCAUGUCCUGCAGGACCUCAGGUGCCGUGACUGCGGGUGCAGGAGUCAGGCCACAGGCAGGAAGGGCUCACCGAGCUGUGGGAGUAGGCAGGGCUCACAGGUCCUGAAUGAAGCAGAAACAGCCGGGCAUGGUGGCACAUGCCUGUCAUCUCAACGCUUGGGAGGCUGAGGCAGGAGGUCGCUGUGAGUUCCAGGCCAGCCUGGGCUAUACAGCGAGAUCCUGUCUCAAAAAACAAAAAAACAACAAAAAAGCAGACACAGAAGAACCAAGGGUGGACUGGCCGUUUUGAAGUCUCUCCUUUAAGGAGGGACAGGAGCUGCAGAAUAGAAGUGACCAGAGGGUAGGGCAGGUGCUGCAGGCUCUGUGAGCCUUAGUGGCCGAGGCGGCCGUGCUGAGUGGAAGUGGCUGCUCGGAGGGCGGGCUGUGCUUCUCAGUUUCCUGGAGGCCCGAGGAGUGGCCGCCCUCCAGCAGGCAACUGCAGCUCAGCCCCGACUUGCAGCGACCGGCCCAGCACCGGCCCCUGUUCUCAAUGACACCAGUGCCGUGCCAGAGCCCGAGGGAUAGGACAGUGUCCAGGGGUCCCUGCCAACACGUGCAAGCGAGGCGUGGGUUUUCGUCACAUGCUGGCUCGGCCGCUCCCGUCAAAGGGUUGACCCUUGAAGUCUGGGUGGUGUCAUCCAGCCGUUACAAGGCCUUAAGAACACAAAGGGCCCGGAUGGGAUGGCACAGGCCUGUUGUACCAGCACUCUGGGAGGCUGAGGCAGGAGGAUCCAGUUUGAGUCCAGCUCCAGCAACUUAGCUUCUUAGUAAGAUCUCAAAAUAAGAAAAGAAGAAAAAAAGAGGGCUGGACAUGGAGCUCGGGGCAAAGGCCCUGGGUUCAGUUCCCGGUGAAAAAAAAAGAACAAAAGAGGUUUCCCUGAUGAAGAAGAAAUUCUGCCGGCGAAUGGCAAUGUGGAUCCUGGGCAGAGGUUCCAGCUCUCCCUGCUCCAAGGCGCCUGGCCCAAGUGCGCUGAGGGUGAGGCCAGCCAGCAAAGUAGUCAGGCUCCCAAGACAAGCUCUUCUGCUCAUUUGUUUUCUGAGACAGGGUCUUGCUGUGUAGCCCAGGCUGGCCUCGAAUUCACAGGGAUCCUCCUGCCUCAGCCUCCCCCGAGCUGGGAUGACAGGUGUGCACCA